rnacentral:lncRNA from 1 species
GAAAUUAGACUCGGACAGCACCAGAGACAACGAGGUCAACUGCGGCUGCUAUGUCGGCGGUGCAGUCUCUGAUAGGCUCGGCUGCUGAUGAAGAAAUACCGCGGUAGUUCGAGGAAACCAUCGUCCAGUCCGAUGAGGAGAUCGAUCGGCUGCGCAGACUGCUGGACGCCAGCUGGGAGACUCAGCCUUACAUCGUGCCUGUAGAUCCCCUGGAGCAUCAUGUUUGCAAGCAGGAGAGGUGUUCCAGUGUGCACCAGCCUGAGCCUCCGCAGGUUAAAAUGGAAAAGGAGGAGCUCUUUGCUUGAACACAGUUCUCCCCCAGCAUCACCUGAGUGGGGUUGAGGAUCUCUGUGACCAGAAGAGAAGCUCUGAUCUCAAGCAGGAGGGACCAGAACCUCCACAGAUUAAAGAUGAGGAAGAAGACCUCAGUGUCAACCCGAAUGAAGAGCAAACAGAGAAACAAGAGACCAAACUACAAAAGAAGGACAGAAACCCCCAGAAACUGAAACGGCAUUAGUGUGGUAGAACCUACUCGCUGA